GCUGGUGGGCUCGGCCUGGGCGGGACCGAACUGGACGUUUCUGUGCGCUCCUGGGUCCACAGCUGUAUUGGGGAGGCCGUGAACGGGCCACGAGAAAUGAGCCAACACCGUUCCAGAGAGCAGCAGGAGCUGAGAAGGAAAAUAAAAAAGGGUAAUGGACCAAAGCGUGGAAACCGGGGAGAUGGACAGUACCGGAGGGCGCCUUUAAGAAGACGAUCUUUGAGCUGAGACCUGGACCAUGGCUGGGAGACGGGCCCGGGAAGAUGCGCAGGAACGGCGUGCCAGAAGGAACACCAAGGGCAAAGGCUCUCCCUCAGGGCUUGACGGAGCCAGAGGGAGGGUGAGAGAGGGGAGUUGAUUGAUGCAGGUAAUAAGUCUUGAUCCGCAGUCAAAAACACUGAAUUGGGGAACAGGUCCCACAGGGAAAUGGAGCCAGAAUUCCAGCCCAGUUCUGUGUGACCCACAGUCCCAUGGUCUUCCUACUACACCGCCUCUCAACACGCAACCUCUGGACCCCCUGUGAAUGUAUCUUUUGGAUACAGCAGAAGUCAAGAGCUCUUUGGAAAAGGCUGCCCAGCAGCGUUAUUUAUGAGACGGAAAGAUUGGACAGCACCGCAGCCCAACUACAGAAGAGCUGAGCAAAUCAUUGCUCACUUCACAAGGAAUCUCUUGUAGUAGUUGAAAAUGCUAAUGAUGAAGAUGGAAACAUGGGGAAAGGCCAAUGAUAAUGCAUUAAGUACAAAAAAAA